UACGGGGGGGGCAAGCGUUGUUCGGAAUUACUGGGCGUAAAGGGCUCGUAGGCGGCCAACUAAGUCAGACGUGAAAUCCCUCGGCUUAACCGGGGAACUGCAUCUGAUACUGGAUGGCUUGAGUUCGGGAGAGGGAUGCGGAAUUCCAGGUGUAGCGGUGAAAUGCGUAGAUAUCUGGAGGAACACCGGUGGCGAAGGCGGCAUCCUGGACCGAUACUGACACUGAGGAGCGAAAGCCAGGGGAGCAAACGGG
rnacentral:rRNA from 1 species